rnacentral:lncRNA from 1 species
AAUUAGGAAAACUUAUUAGAAAACUAAAAAGUAGCUGAUGAAAUAAAAUGAGCAAAAAAGUCUAUAUGAAUGUCCAGAAAAUAGAAUAUCCAGAGGAACUUAACUCGUAAAAACAGAAAAAAUGAAAAAAAAAAAAGGAGCUGAACUCAUUUCCAAAUUACCAAAUAUGAUGACUUUUCUCUAUUAUUUAACCAAAAGUUCAAAAUGAAACUCAAGACAAAUAUGCCGAAUUUUCGGUCCACGAAUCACAGGAAGUGCAGAUACAAAAGCGCAUUGAAUCUCUACAUAACUCAAACGACCCUUGCGAUGAUCACGUGAUGACCACGCGAUGACCCUCAUGAUGACUAUGAUGAGCAUAAAUCAAAUAGCAAUCACAGCACAGCGAUCCUGCAUGGAAACGCAACAACUUGGAGUUUAUCAACCAUAAUUUGUCAAAUCCAUCCAAAAUGAAUAUAAUGAAAAAAUUGACUUCUUAUCCUCAGAGUAACGUGAUUCUAGAAGCAAACUUUGUCGAAGUCAUCAAAAAGAGAAUUCCGAAACUAGAAACAAGCCAAAACCUCCCUUAGUGAUCAUGAGCAGACCACAGAGCACUUUCGUGCCAUUGACGCAUUCUUAUCUCAAAGUAAAGCAAUCAAGGAAAGGAUAGAUUUAGAGUUCACCAAGCAACUAUUAUAUUAUAUACAAUGUAAAGAUUUAAUGUAUACAAGUCAAACAUUAAAAAACCAUAUUAUA